CCAGCAGCCGCGGUAAUUCCAGCUCCAGUAGCGUAUAUUAAAGUUGUUGCAGUUAAAAAGCUCGUAGUUGGAUUUCUGGCCUGACAUGCCUGGCCCGCUUACAGAUAAUGUUCGUGAGUGCCGGCGCGUGUCUGCCAUCCUUCUAGAGAACGGUUCUAUCCUUCACUGGACUGGAUCCGCUAUCUAGAUCUUUUACUUUGAAAAAAUUAGAGUGUUCAAAGCAGGCUUGCGCUAUGAAUACAUUAGCAUGGAAUAAUAAUCUAGGACUUUCGGCCUAUUUUGUUGGUUUCUAGACUGAAAGUAAUGAUUGAUAGGGAUAGUUGGGGGUGCUAGUAUUCAGCGGC
rnacentral:rRNA from 1 species